rnacentral:rRNA from 1 species
CAGCCGCCGCGGGAAUACGAAGGUCCCGAGCGUUGUUCGGAAUCACUGGGCGUAAAGGGAGCGUAGGCGGCGUGGUAAGUCAGAUGUGAAAUCCCGGGGCUCAACCCCGGAACUGCAUCCGAUACUGCCGUGCUAGAGGAUUGGAGAGGUAGCUGGAAUUCUUGGUGUAGCAGUGAAAUGCGUGGAGAUCAAGAGGAACACUCGUGGCGAAAGCGAGCUACUGGACAAUAUCUGACGCUGAGGCUCGAAGGCCAGGGUAGCGAAAGGGAUUAGAUACCCCAGUAGUCCCUGUCUCUUAUAU